rnacentral:lncRNA from 1 species
GGAAGAUGAGAGAGAUCUGGCACUGCUUGCCUGGGAUAACCGAGUACUUGGUCCCUCUUUGGAAGGUGGUGCUUCUCUGGCUGAUACAUCUUCUUUCAAAUAAUCCAAGGCAGUUUUAAGAGCACAGCGAUAUUUCAGUUCUUCCACGGCCUCAUUCGGAUCCGCCUUUUCAUUUAAGUUAGAGACGAUGUCCUCUAUGCACGCCUCCUCCAGGGGCACAGCAUCCUC